rnacentral:lncRNA from 1 species
CAGCAAUCUCUGCCUCCCAGAUUCAAGUGAUUCCCUUGUCUCAACCUCCCGAGUAGCUGGGAACACAGUUCAGUCUCAUUCUUCCGUUGCCACAUGGUACUCCAUAGUAUUGACAGGUAUUUACAUGGUUUCCACUUAUUUGUCAUUACAGACAAUGCCACAGUGAACAUCUUAGUAUAAGGCUUGGGCCCAGGUGCCUCCCCUCUCCAACAGUGGCCCUCUCAAUCCCCCACAGGGCCCAAAGAUCCCACACACUCCUGCCUCCAGCCAUGCAAGGUCUUGGGCAAUGGAGCAGUGCCCUGGGGACUCGGGCAGCAGGGGGUUGGGAGACAGGGGAGGGUAGGUGGGUGGGUGGUUGUAGGUGCUUCUUAUCCCAUCCUGCUGCUACUUCUUCCUGUCUGGGGACAGGACAC